GAUGAACGCUAGCGGCAGGCUUAAUACAUGCAAGUCGUGGGGCAGCUUGAGUAGCAAUACUUGAUGGCGACCGGCAAACGGGUGCGGAACACGUACACAACCUUCCGAUAAGUGGGGAAUAGCCCAGAGAAAUUUGGAUUAAUACCCCGUAACAUAUAGAGUAGGCAUCUUCUUUAUAUUAUAGCUUCGGCGCUUAUUGAUGGGUGUGCGUCUGAUUAGGUAGUUGGCGGGGUAACGGCCCACCAAGCCUACGAUCAGUAGCUGAUGUGAGAGCAGGAUCAGCCACACGGGCACUGGGACACGGGCCCGACUCCUACGGGAGGCAGCAGUAAGGAAUAUUGGACAAUGGGCGAAAGCCUGAUCCAGCCAUGCCGCGUGAAGGAUUAAGGUCCUCUGGAUUGUAAACUUCUUUUAUUUGGGACGAAAAAAGGGAAUUCUUUCCCACUUGACGGUACCAAGUGAGUAAGCACCGGCUAACUCCGUGCCAGCCGCCGCGGUAA
rnacentral:rRNA from 1 species